rnacentral:rRNA from 1 species
AUUGAACGCUGGCGGCAGGCCUAACACAUGCAAGUCGAGCGGAUGAAGAGAGCUUGCUCUCUGAUUCAGCGGCGGACGGGUGAGUAAUGCCUAGGAAUCUGCCUGGUAGUGGGGGACAACGUUUCGAAAGGAACGCUAAUACCGCAUACGUCCUACGGGAGAAAGCAGGGGACCUUCGGGCCUUGCGCUAUCAGAUGAGCCUAGGUCGGAUUAGCUAGUAGGUGAGGUAAUGGCUCACCUAGGCGACGAUCCGUAACUGGUCUGAGAGGAUGAUCAGUCACACUGGAACUGAGACACGGUCCAGACUCCUACGGGAGGCAGUAGUGGGGAAUAUUGGACAAUGGGCGAAAGCCUGAUCCAGCCAUGCCGCGUGUGUGAAGAAGGUCUUCGGAUUGUAAAGCACUUUAAGUUGGGAGGAAGGGCAGUAAGUUAAUACCUUGCUGUUUUGACGUUACCAACAGAAUAAGCACCGGCUAACUUCGUGCCAGCCGCCGCGGUAACAC